GCAGCAGCCGCGGUAAUACGAAGGGUGCAAGCGUUAAUCGGAAUUACUGGGCGUAAGGCGUGCGUAGGCGGUGAGUUAAGUCUGCUGUGAAAUCCCCGGGCUCAACCUGGGAAUGGCAGUGGAUACUGGCUCGCUAGAGUGUGUCAGAGGAUGGUGGAAUUCCCGGUGUAGCGGUGAAAUGCGUAGAGAUCGGGAGGAACAUCAGUGGCGAAGGCGGCCAUCUGGGACAACACUGACGCUGAGGCACGAAAGCGUGGGGAGCAAACAGGAUUAGAUACCCCCGUAGUCCCUGUCUCUUAUAC
rnacentral:rRNA from 1 species